UACGGAGGAUGCAAGCGUUAUCCGGAUUCAUUGGGUUUAAAGGGUGCGUCGGCGGUUUUUUAAGUCAGUGGUGAAAUCCUGCCGCUUAACGGUAGAAUUGUCAUUGAUACUGAAAAGCUUGAGUACAUUUGAGGUAAGCGGAAUGUGUAGUGUAGCGGUGAAAUGCUUAGAUAUUACACAGAACACCAAUUGCGAAGGCAGCUUACUAAACUGUGACUGACGCUGAUGCACGAAAGCGUGGGGAGCGAACAGG
rnacentral:misc_RNA from 1 species